CCAGGCCUUUGGCAGAGGAGGGCUGUUCUUCCCUUGGGAUCUAUGACUGGGAGGAACUAGCCUUCUCUCUGCUUAGGAGUGGGCC
rnacentral:pre_miRNA from 11 species